rnacentral:lncRNA from 1 species
GCACUCGCAAAAAAUGGGCCAUCUUAAUUCAAACGUCGGCGUCGGGUUCAGAAGUCGCUGGCACAUCACACCUGCCCUCUCUCGGCCUCUCGGAAUUCCCCGGGCGGGCCGACGACGCGACGGGGCAACGGGGGCAUCGGGACGGCGACGGCAGCCUUGUUUACCUGCGCCCGCGACGCCGACCCGGCCGCUGCGCUCGCCGUCGCCGGUCGCUGCCACCCGUCCGGAUCGGCCGGCGUUGAUUCCUCUGCCAUCACGCUCUCGCAGUCAUCGCCAAAACUGACAGUAGCAGCACCAGUACCAGCACCCGGUUUCGUCCGGCAGCCUGAUCUGCCGUUGCUGGGUUUGCUCGUGUGCAAUGCGCGCUGGCGAGCAGUUUGAGAAGAUGUGCACUCUUUUCUACUCUACUUCGGUGCACGAGGUCCUAGCAUGGUCGGUGGAGAGACCACGUGCAGCUGACGUGCCAUGGAGUAUUUCGGUUGCUUCAUCGAAUCGUUUCUUUUACACGUUAUAUGUACACGCUCACACUCAUUUCUAUGAACCCGCAUACAUAUCUUAUUCUUAUGAAUUUUUUUACAAGAAACACAUACAUAAUAUGAUAAACAUAUAGGCCGGCUGGAUGGUAUGGACCCAGGUGGAAGGAAUCACCAGCGGGUGCCGUCGACGGAAGCCAAUAACCUCCCGCGAUGGUGAUUAGGAUGAAACCUUCCUUCCCUCAAUCUCCGUAGGUGAGCCUCUGGAUUCGCCUCCUAUCUAUGUACCGUCCUGAUGGCACAUUGCGCGGAGGAGAAUCCCGGUGUCUCAAAUCUAGUUAAUAUAUAGGUUAGGAUGUUAAUCCUGGGAGACACUUAGGAGGAUGUUGGCGCUUCUUAGGAUGGAUUUGAUAGAGCUCCGACGUUUAUUCCUUGACUCCUAUGACGACGAGCUUAGGAGAAAUUGCCUCCGAAACAAUCGUCCUUACGGACACACGCGUAAAGAUUUUUCAGUUGUCAUUAACAAGUUUAAGCUGACUCCAGCAUGAAAAUGGUCACACCAGUGUGUGGACGGUGUCAAUAGUCGUCCAAUGGUCUAAGAGACAUGUAUGUAACUUUUAUUAUGUUUGGAGAGCUUUGUAUUUCUAGUAAAUAUUUAUGAUAGAUCUUG